rnacentral:rRNA from 1 species
UACGUAGGGUGCGAGCGUUAAUCGGAAUUACUGGGCGUAAAGCGUGCGCAGGCGGUGAUGUAAGACAGAUGUGAAAUCCCCGGGCUCAACCUGGGAACUGCAUUUGUGACUGCAUCGCUGGAGUGCGGCAGAGGGGGAUGGAAUUCCGCGUGUAGCAGUGAAAUGCGUAGAUAUGCGGAGGAACACCGAUGGCGAAGGCAAUCCCCUGGGCCUGCACUGACGCUCAUGCACGAAAGCGUGGGGAGCAAAACGG